UACGUAGGGUGCAAGCGUUAAUCGGAAUUACUGGGCGUAAAGCGUGCGCAGGCGGUUUUAUAAGUUUGUCGUGAAAGCCCCGGGCUCAACCUGGGAAUUGCGAUGAAGACUGUAAGGCUAGAGUGUGUCAGAGGGGGGUAGAAUUCCGACGUGUAGCAGUGAAAUGCGUAGAUAUGUGGAGGAACACCGAUGGCGAAGGCAGCCCCCUGGGAUAACACCUGACGCUCAUGCACGAAAGCGUGGGGAGCAAACAGGAUUAGAAACCCG
rnacentral:rRNA from 1 species